ACUGACUUAAAGGGAUUGCGCCAGAUUUGGGCAAAUAAGCCCUGUUCCUGCUUACCCUGAGUGAGAUGAACUUGAGCAUGCUAUCCGUUCCGGUAGACUUCCAGUUAUUGACUCGCACAACUACCCUUGUCUUCCUUCAUUCUGGACGCAGAGAUAUACCAUUUUUAACCAUUACUUCAUCUUGAUUUGGGUAAAUCGAAGCAGGGCUUAAAAUCUCACACUAUCCCUUUAAGAUCCAACUGAUUUCUGCAUUUGACAUCUGUCCUGUAUUUUUGUGUCACUGAAGAGAGCAGUACUAAAUUGCUAAAGCGUUACAUGUUGCGCAUUACAAACGGAAAGCAGAUUUCUGAUUGAGCUGACAAAUGCACGUAACAUUGCCUUUAAAUUUCCAUCAGGCUGUAACUCUGCAUUUCCCUGAUAUUGAUUGAACAGAGUGUAAGGGUGCGUCCUGGUGGCAGGGAAGUCAGGUGCAGGAGAUCCAACUUAAUAUAAAACGGAGCAGUAUAAUUCAUUAAUUAAAUACACAGGUUAAUUCAUUAAAUAUAUACUGUGAAUUUACAAUGUUAUUUGUAAGAGACCCUUAUGUCUCUAUUCAGUCUGGAUCGCUGAAACAUUACAGGUUUUUGGAAAUUAUUUUGUUGGUAUUUUAUUAGGAUCCCCAUAAGUUGUUGCAAAAGCAAAGCUACUCUCAAACACAGAACAUGAAACAUAAUACAGAACGACAUGAUACAGAACAUCAAUAGACAAAAACGGCUCAAGGACAGAACUACAUGAAUGUUUUAAAAAGGCACACGUAGCCUACAUAUCAAUACAUACACACAAACUAUCUAGGUCAAAUAGGCGUUGUGCCUCGAGGUGUUGCUUGAUCUGUUUUUUGAAACCAGGUUUUCUGUUUAUUUGAGCAAUAUGAGAAGAAAGGAAGUUCCAUCCAAUAAGGGCUCUAUAUAAUACUGUACAUUUUCUUGAAUUUGUUCUGGAUUUGGGACUGUGAAAUACCCCUGGUGGCAUAAGUGUGUGUGGAAGAGCUGGGUUGACUAUGGAAACAAUUUGGGAUUUUCAACACCUUAAUGUUUCUUAAUAAAAGAAGAAGUGAUGCAGUCAGUCUUUCCUCAACUCUCAGCCAAUAGAGACUGGCAUGUACAGUAUUGAUAUCAGCCCUCUGAUUACAAUGAAGAGCAAAACGUGCCGAUCUGUUCGGGGCCAGCUGCACGUUACAAAUUUAAAGAUAUCUGCUGUAACUGUCUCCAACAGGUGAUGAGGCCUCACCCAAUGUCAGACCCUCUGCCAGACCACAACCUGGUGGUCCAUUUUUACCUGUUGAUAGGUGUGGAGAG